AGCAGAAAUAAUGGAUUUGAAGUGUUUUUUUUUAAAGCUGUUUCCAGUUUCUGUGUAGUGGGGAAGUGAAAGAGAGGAAAGAAAUUUGAAAGCGGAUUAGAAGUUAAUUUUGUCCCACCAGAAGAAUGGGGAGUGGAAGGACUAAAACAAUUAGUAAGGAUGAAUAUACAGGAUUCUGGAUACUGAAGGAGAGCUUUCUCUAAGAGAGCUAAUGGGUACAGACAAUUGUGGAGUAUAGAAAACAGGGAGCCAUUUUCCAGCAAGAGAUCAGAAAAUUGUAGUUGCAAACUUGGUUCAAGGACUACAUUGAAAGAGAUCCUGAUUCUGAUUGCGGGUUCUCUUACAAAAAGCUUUCAUUAUGUGAGUUAUCUCACCACCAAAAUAGCUUCGAGCGUCGUCUCCUGCAACUCAGUCUACUUGGAAGGGAGAAGAAUAAUAGAGUAAUUGAAUCAAGAAGCUGGGGAAGGGACCAAGACGCAGUCUUCAUUUAAGAGGGAUCAGGCUCUCUGAUAGAUCUCUUUCAGACAACAAAUGCCUUCUGCAGAGCAGGUGACCAAGAGUUACAAGAUUUAAUAACUACUUGGAUUAAUAGACAAUAUG